AGGGGAUAGCCGUUGGAAACGACGAAUAAUACCCUAUGAAACUAUCACUUCGCAUGAAGCGAUAGUCAAAGUGUUAGCGGUGUAAGAUGGACUUGCGUCUGAUUAGCUAGUUGGUGAGAAAAAAGCCCACCAAGGCAACGAUCAGUAGCCGGCUUGAGAGAGUGUACGGCCACAUUGGGACUGAGACACGGCCCAG
rnacentral:rRNA from 1 species